rnacentral:rRNA from 1 species
GAUGAACGCUGGCGGCGUGCCUAAUACAUGCAAGUCGAGCGAACAGACGAGGAGCUUGCUCCUCUGACGUUAGCGGCGGACGGGUGAGUAACACGUGGAUAACCUACCUAUAAGACUGGGAUAACUUCGGGAAACCGGAGCUAAUACCGGAUAAUAUAUUGAACCGCAUGGUUCAAUAGUGAAAGACGGUUUUGCUGUCACUUAUAGAUGGAUCCGCGCCGCAUUAGCUAGUUGGUAAGGUAACGGCUUACCAAGGCAACGAUGCGUAGCCGACCUGAGAGGGUGAUCGGCCACACGGGAACUGAGACACGGUCCAGACUCCUACGGGAGGCAGCAGUAGGGAAUCUUCCGCAAUGGGCGAAAGCCUGACGGAGCAACGCUGCGUGAGUGAUGAAGGUCUUCGGAUCGUAAAACUCUGUUAUUAGGGAAGAACAAAUGUGUAAGUAACUAUGCACGUCUUGACGGUACCUAAUCAGAAAGCCACGGCUAACUACGUG